GCAAGCUCCGCCGUGUCCGUCCAGUGGUUCUCAUCCGGGUCGACCGACUUCGGAAGGCUUACUCGAGACGGCCGUGUCCGUUGGCACACCGCUCCCUGGGGAAAUUUUUCGGUGAGAAGUGUGCCGGUGGCGGAGGGUUUAAUUGGCUACGGGUGAGAAGUACACCGGCCGAGUCGAUGCUACGCCCGAGGGAGGAAACGGAAGACGGUGCCACGGGACAGGAAGGUUCCGGGGCUGUAUUUUUGGAAGUGUCGCGAGGCGGAGGGUGGGAUUACAGGAAGUGGGACACUUGACGUACUCCGGCUGCACCAUGGAUAUAACGUAACCCUUCGAGGAUACGACACGUCCCAUUCAUCGAUCGACAAAUAGACGGGAGACUGAUGAUGUCUGGGGCUUGAUUCCGUAGACGGGACGUCAGAAAACGCCCGGGGACCGAGGGUUUUAAGCCCUGGAUGAGAAUCGUAGGAUUUCGUAGGGACGUGAGCCGCUUGGUAUUCUCCGGCUGCACCAUGGAUAAUGUAAUUCCUCGAGAAAAUGACGCGUGUUCCUUGCGUCAAUUGACAAUCUGAUGAGGUCUAAGAUUAGGAGUUUCUCUUGGAUACAGGAAGGGAUCCGAGUCUCGGAUGAGAAUCGCUGAGCCACGAUCUGUGCUACUGGGCUACGCGCUACACAGCACUUUGGCCGACCGACCGACUCUACUCGCACACGAUCCUCUUUCUUCCUCUCCCAUUAUCCAUCUCCCUCGUCUGUUAGAACGCUCUAUACAGGUCCCUUCGUCUUGCUCCACCAUGCAAAUCUGCCGUCUUGCACCUUGCGAGGCAGUCUGUCCUCUGCUACCGAGUUUAAUCGAAGAGUGCGCCGGCUUGCAGCGGGGCUCUGUUACCCACUGGUACACAGGGAUGAACGAGUGCCAUAUUAUUCCCUGUCUGCGAAUAUGUUUACCGUAACCUAACCAACCGGUCCCGUUGCUCCUUGCUUCCAUGAUGGCUUCCAGCGCCACCGGAACCGACCAGACCAGACCGAAUGGACAAAAUCAUCUAACAAUUAUUCUUAACGAAUCUUUGUCAGAAUAUUGUAGCUUGUUAUUCUCGUUGUUCGUUAGCAAAGUCAACAGCCCAGAGGCGGAAUCUGAAGUCUUUCCGCUCCGAGUUAGCGAUUCGUAAACAAAGGAAAGAUGAGGAAAAAUCCUUCUUGAGGUAGCGAACAUUAGUCUCUGCUUGCUUUCCUAACGCAGCGACGUUUAGCAGAGAAAUUAGACCCAGAAUUUUUUUCUUCUCUCUUCGGUAUCUUGCUUCUAAUGGAUUACUAUGAAAACACCUCACGGCUUCGAGUUAACGAACGUUUUCAACGCUUCCAGAGAGAAUCACACUUAGCUAAGUGUAUCCGCAUCGACUAAGCGUCCCGAAUGGGUAUCUCGUUCAGUUAUUUUUCUUCAUUUCCAUCCCUGUACCGGUCUCGUUGCUAUCUUUUUAGAUUCCGUUCGUAGGAGGAAAUUCAAUCGCGAACCAGCAAGCUUUUCUCCUUGUCAGCGAUUUAAUCAUUGGACCGCCAUCAACUCCGACGGACCAUCCCUUCCGUACUUUUCAUUACGGCUCGUUAAGCCACGACUCGAGAGAGUAGUCCAGUCGUUUCCAGACUUCGAGCCAUACCGGUGAGUCAGGUCAUUGCCGGAAUUACUCAAUAAUUACUUUUGUCGUCGACGGUCCGAGCGAUCCUGAGCGCGCGCUCUGCUCAUCUUUGGAAUCCGCUUGCGCGUAUCAAUACAGAGGCAGCUUUAAGAAGCUUUAAGCAUCCCAAUGAUUGCGAUUCUUCAGGGGUCUUUCAUCACUGACAUUGUUUUUCGCUUCCUUUUCUUUUGGUGCGAAGUGAAAUUAAUGUAGGUUGGUGGUUUCCUUCUGACAAAACGAUAUCUGGAUUAGGUGUACCGGAAAAAGGGUUAAUCGAGUUUGGCAAGGUUCGAUCAGCGAACCGAUAAAUCCAAUAACGCAAAUCGUCGAAAAAUACGAGCUGUCGAUAAAUAAGAAAAUGUCAAAGACCACGGGAAGGGAGAGUGCGCGACGCGAUCAUCGAAGCGUCAGCCAGAUCGAUUCUCCAAAGGGGGAUGGAGGCACUUCCACGGAACUGGGCUAGCCUAAAGUCCCUGAAACAACUCGUUACGUAACUUCCGGCGGCGUACUAACCGACAAUGCGGCGCUCCUUAUUGCGGGCUACCGAUCGUUCUCCACUCCGUUAGCCCUUUUCAACCCUUUCAAUUUUUGAUAAUUAAGUUUUUCAUGCAAUUAGAAUUAAGACGAGAAUGGAAUGAAAUCAAAAUGAAUUUCAUCAGGUCCUUGUUCCUUUUUGUGCUGAAAGAUAUUAAGGUUUAGGGGUUUGAAGGUUCCAUUAGAAAGAUGAAAUUUUCUCCGAUAUAAAAGGUCAUUCGUUGUGAUUUCUGGUCACCCAUAGUAACUCACAAUCGAUCCAUAGUGAUCUCUAGACAUUUGUAACCACCUACAGUUAUCCAUAAGAUUCCCUAGUCACUUAUAGUGACCUUCAGGCGUCCCUAGUGAUCCCUAGACAUCCAUAACCACCUACAGUUACCCAUAGCGUCCCCUCUGACACACAAAGGAUUUGCUGGUUGUCAAUGACGAUCGAUAGCACUGAAUAAAUGACGGUCACACAGAUAGCGGACAAAAAGAAAAAAGAUAUCAAGCGAUUAUUCGGGAAGAUGCUGGACGGGCUGGCUGAGUUCUUUGGGAAAUUGGAAGCGAACCGAAUAUCCCAGAGGAUAGAAAGAUGGUUACGUAACUCGUGGAAAAUCGUUGGUCCACGGGAGGCACCGAGAUUCCAGGACACUUUUCACUUCCUAUUGUCGUAUUUUAUUUGUCAGGUAACUUUGAAGAUUUUAGAGAUAGUGGAAAUAGAGAAGAUGCUAACGGAAUAUAAAAGCAUCAAUGUAAGACGAAAAAAUAAACAUAAUUAUAAGGUAGUUAAGAGGCAUUAUGCGUGAUGUAAGCAAGGAAAGGGGCCACGAACCAUGAUUCAUAUCCUGCGAAUCAAAUUCGUGCGACAGUUUAUGGAUGGAACCUGUCGUGCACAUGACCGAGGCAUUUAAUGAGUCACCUCGUUAAUCAGUGUUGCGUUUAAGCGAACUGAUUAAUCAUACAAGACAGCAAAUUGAAAGUACACGUGGCCGAUUAGUCGAUCGAUCUUUCGUCCAGGCGAUUCCAUCGCGAUACGUCGAACAACGGGCCAAAGCAGGGCGCACGAAUCGGCCAGAAAUGGGUCAAGUCCUAAUUGCAUCGACGACGAAAAAGAGACGCCUCGAAUAUAUCGCGUGCCGUGUCACGAGAACCAUUCGAUUUUCCAAUGGAAACGGCAAGAAAGGAAAUAAAGAAUCAACGAAAUAUCAUACCUUUCGUUGGCUUCGUUCGCAAACCGUCGCAACUUUCUAAAAGAACGUGCUUGAAAUGUUCUUUUAUUGGUACACUUGGGGGAUCGUUUGCAGAAAAAAAGGAUUGUUCCCGACGAAAACACCAAGUUCAAUUUAAUAGAAGAACAGGAAGCAGAAAAACGGAAAAUUGCCCGUGAAGUGGAGUUUGGCGAGAAUUGAUAGGAUCGAGGAACAGGAGAAAGAAGACAGUAGACGAAGUCUCUGCCAAGUCAAUACUUUGCUCUCGAUAACGUCACUCGAUUACCGAUUAAAAAGAGAUUCCGAUAUCGGCAAAACAGUCGAUUUUUUAAGAUUAACUCUU